GUUCCCGACGUUCUCCAAAAAGAGCCGCUCGUUCGCUAACGACCAAUUACUAUCAUUCAGUAACAACAUGGUGAUGAAAACAGGCUAGAUAGCUCUCUAAAUUUGUUAACCAUGACAAAGACAUGUUGGACAUUCAUUAAACGCUUCAGUGAGCUUAAAGAAUUGCAGAGUGAACAUGGCUUCACCCCAGGCCCUCAGCCUUUCUUGCCAGAUGCUCUUUUGCUAGAUGCCCACCUGAGAAGACGUCACAUGCUUAUCUUAAGAAAUACGGAUGGCUUGCUGAUGCUGUACUCAUGUACGGCUGUGUCUGGUAUGAAUCAGUUGAGCCCACUGAGGGAGCUGAAAGUGGAAAAGGCUGUUACGGUUAGGCGUUGGCCAUAGUGCCAAAGUCUGAGCCCGAUCGGACUAAAUCUCUUGUGUCCCCAAACCACAACCAACCGUGAUGGAAUCAUUGCUCUGCUACACCAGCCGGUGCAAAGAAUCCCCACAAGAAUCUGUCGGACUCUGGAGAGAAGCACUACAUGUUAUUCAGUCUCCCUGUAAAUAGUACACUUAUUUUAA